AAAUUUAGGAUAUUUACCCCAAACCGGGGGCCUUCAAAGCCCAAAAAAA
rnacentral:tRNA from 1 species